rnacentral:lncRNA from 1 species
AUUUAAUGGAGUUUAAUUGAGCAAGAACAAAAGCGAUUCAUGAACCGGGCAGUCCCCAGAAUCACAGCAGAUUCAGAGAGCCUCCAGGGAUGCCUUGUGGUCAGACCAAAUUUAUAGACAGAAAAAGAGAAGUGGCAUACAGAAAUUGGAAGUGAGGUACAGAAACAGCCGGGUUGGUUACAGGUUGGCGUCAGCCUUAUUUGAACACAGUAGCAUAUGAGUGGCUGAAGCAUGGCUGCUGGGAUUGGCCAAGACCCAGCUAUUAUUAUAGGUGCAUACUGCUAAGUUAGGUUUUCACUCCUGUCAACCUAUUAAGUUGGUUACGGUUUGUCCACAAGGACUCAAAUAUAGAAGUACAGAGUCCUUCUCAGGCCAUAUUUAGUUCGCUUUAACACAGUUCUAUUUUUGAUUAACUUAGUGGGUUGUAUUUAAUUUAUUAUAAUAUUUUCAUUUCAACUCUUCUCUUUUCUGUUAUUUGGAUGAUCUAUUGACAAAUAUGUUGGUCUCGCUAAGCUGAGCCCCUUGAAGGUAGAGAUAGUUGUGCUCAAAGAAACAAACAUAACUUUGUUUCUCUGCCCCUUACACAGGGCCUAACCUAGAGUAGGUGCUCUGCAAACACUGCAGAGAUAGUGAAAGACUGGAACGCUGUUUGUUGCGUGAAGAGAGAAGGAUUCAAACACUGGCCAAGGAAGCAGAAUGAUUCCAAAGGAUCUAUAGAAGUUCCCCAGGCAGCAAAACUCAGAGGUCUCCUGUCAACAUCCAGGUCUGAAUUCCUAGAGGUUGCCCCACAAGUUUCGAUCUGCACUCUACCUAGAUGCACAAGGCUCAUUCCCUCAGUGUUGUCUCAACUUUCUGGCUGAGAGGAGGAAGCUAAUAAAAACCCAACGUGUGAAGAACAGGAAACUAUUCAACGAUCACUCACCCAGGGACAUUUUAUGCUGCAAAGUAUGUUCUUCAUUAAAGUAUUAAUUUACCUCAGUGUAAAUUCAAGCAAUGAGGCUGAAACAGGGUGGGGACUCACAGCUCUCUGCUGCUAGUACCAAUUGUUGACUGAAGGAAACUUGUGGUGGAGCCUGCUCUGUUUGUCGGGUUGUGGUGAGGAUUAAGCUGGAUAACAAGGUUUGACAACCGGGAGGGGUUUGUGAAUGUUUAUUUCCCUCUCUUAACCCCUGAACUUAAACAGUAGGCGUGCUGCUGUGGUUUGAGGGCAGGGUGCAGAUGUGUGCAAUCUACUGAAGUGCACUAAAAAUAGGAUGAACUGAUAGAUAAAGGGAUCAAUACAUUGAUAUAUUCUGAUAAAAUAAGUAUAAUAAACUUUUAAUAGUUGGUAUACAGUGUUCACA